rnacentral:misc_RNA from 1 species
GAAAUGCGAUAAGUAAUGUGAAUUGCAGAAUUCCGUGAAUCAUUAAAUCUUUGAACGCACAUUGCGCUCCCGGGUACUCCCGAGAGCAUGUCUGUUUGAGAAUCAGUUUAACCUCUCACUCUUAUUUUUUUAUUAAAAUACAGAGUGGACUUGGGACUCUUUUUUGAAGCAAUUCAAAAAAAGACCUUUAAUCUAAAUUUGACCUUUAGACUUUGCUAAAUUUUAGCGCUUAACACCUAGAAGGCAUGACCAAUGGCAAAGAAGCAAUUCUUGACCUUUAGACUGCUGAUAAUGGGUUUAGUUAAUUUUUUACAGCAUAACUUGAAGAUUUCAACUACAAUUUUAAACACGGUUCUUUAAUUAAAACCAAGACUUUGAUCUCAAAUCAGACAAGACUACC